UCCUCCCUUUCCAAGGAGCAAGAUUUAGUUGUGGCCACCCUGCCCUGGAGUUUCUCACACAAAUGAAUUUGGCAACUAAGAAAAGAGACAGGAGGGGGAAAAAAGGAGGAACUCCUGGCUGAGCUUCACUCUGUAAGAAGUGAUAAGCAGGGGAUGGGAAGGCUUAUUAAACUAGAGCAUUAAGUUGCAGGUCCAGGAAAACUGAAGACAGCAUAAUGCACACUCACUGCACAAUAUUCUCUGUUACACAUGGAUACCAGCAACAAUACACAGUGGGCUCUGGCAUAAGUGACUGGCAGCUUGGUGCUCAUCUGUCUUCUGAGCCUCAUUCUGCAACAAGGAGUUCCUGCUUACACGGAAGCCAGGAAUUAAUCAAAGGCACAGGACUUGGACUUCUAGUACUGCUUCUUCUGAACUUCAGGCAGGUGAUGCAUCCUUAGCCUUCUGGUGGCACAUGGAAACAGCGAAGGUUUGACGACUACACAGCAGCAUGAGUUUGAAGAGAUUGGUUUUAUUUUGUUUUUGCUCUAAGACGGGGGUAAUUUCAAAGAACCGUUUUGAGGACUUAAAUAAAAUAAAUUCUCCAUCCUAUAUGAAUGCUAAAAAAAAAUUAGCUGCUAUUGUGAAAGAAGAAAUCAGGUUCUAUUGAAGAAAACCUAGGAACUGUAAAUGUUUCCAUUGUCAACAUGAGUUUUAUGAAUCCACCUAAAUGCUUCAAAAAUGCAGACAUGUGUAGCCCAUCUAUUGGAGAGUCUGAUUCAGUUAGGAUACAGCGAAGUUGAGGCAUCUGGAGUUUUUUUAGCUCCUCUGAUGACUGCAGUCACCAAGCAGAAGUGGAGACAAUUGGUGUCUGGAAAAACCUCAGCGCUCCGAUUCUAGCAGUGGCAAAUUGUUGGAUUUCUUAUCCUCUGUAAUCUCAGAAGAACAAUUCCUAUAAGAAAUCUGUCUUCUGUUGACUACAAUAUGGGCAGUCUUGAGGAUUUUCUAUAUUGCAUCUCGUUCAGUCAAUUUCAUGUGCUCAGAAUUUCAUGUUCAUGGAAAGAAGAAAAUAAGAAGGAAAGUCACCUGCACAGCUGUGGAGCCUCCAUGAGAUGGAACUAGGCUCUCUGCAUGUGGGAGACAAUUGUGUAGCUGCAUCUAUCUGAGAGACUCCUGAAGGCAGGACCAGUGUCUAUCCCUGGUGUAUGAGCUAGCUUGUAGGAACCCAUUCCCUAGGGUGGGAUGCCAUGCUCAACUGUAAUGCUUGAGGUUGGGGGGAGGGAUUGGUCCUGCCUCAAUUUAAUGGACCUGGCUUUGUCUAGGUCCCAUGGCAGCCCUUAUCCUGUGA